GUAAGGAAUAUUGGUCAAUGGGGGCAACCCUGAACCAGCCAUGCCGCGUGCAGGAUGACGGCCCUAUGGGUUGUAAACUGCUUUUAUACCAGAGAAAACCCGAGUACGUGUACUCGGUUGAUAGUAUGGUAAGAAUAAGCAUCGGCUAACUUCGUGCCAGCAGCCGCGGUAAGACGAAGGAUGCAAGCGUUAUCCGGAUUCAUUGGGUUUAAAGGGUGCGUAGGCGGACCUGUAAGUCAGUGGUGAAAUCUCUUUGCUUAACAAAGAAACUGCCAUUGAUACUGCAAGUCUAGAGUAUAGAUGACGUUGGCGGAAUAUGACAUGUAGUGGUGAAAUACUUAGAUAUGUCAUAGAACACCGAUUGCGAAGGCAGCUAACGAAACUAUAACUGACGCUGAGGCACGAAAGUGCGGGGAUCAAACAGGAUUAGAAACCCCGGUAGUCC
rnacentral:rRNA from 1 species